AGUGAACGCUGGCGGUAGGCCUAACACAUGCAAGUCGAACGGCAGCACAGUAAGAGCUUGCUCUUACGGGUGGCGAGUGGCGGACGGGUGAGGAAUACAUCGGAAUCUACUUUUUCGUGGGGGAUAACGUAGGGAAACUUACGCUAAUACCGCAUACGACCUACGGGUGAAAGCAGGGGAUCUUCGGACCUUGCGCGAUUGAAUGAGCCGAUGUCGGAUUAGCUAGUUGGCGGGGUAAAGGCCCACCAAGGCGACGAUCCGUAGCUGGUCUGAGAGGAUGAUCAGCCACACUGGAACUGAGACACGGUCCAGACUCCUACGGGUGGCAGCAGUGGGGAAUAUUGGACAAUGGGCGCAAGCCUGAUCCAGCCAUACCGCGUGGGUGAAGAAGGCCUUCGGGUUGUAAAGCCCUUUUGUUGGGAAAGAAAAGCAGCAGGUUAAUACCCCGCUGUUCUGACGGUACCCAAAGAAUAAGCACCGACUAACUUCGUG
rnacentral:rRNA from 1 species